rnacentral:tRNA from 3 species
GGGGAUGUAGCUCAGUGGGAGAGCGCCUGCCUUGCAAGCAGGAGGUCGGCGGUUCGAAUCCGCUCAUCUCCACCA